rfam:Monodelphis domestica chromosome 8, whole genome shotgun sequence.
AUAACAGCUUUUUUAAAAGCCACUAAAAUUUCCCUAAAAUGAAAA